rnacentral:rRNA from 1 species
CCUACGGGAGGCAGCAGUGAGGAAUAUUGGUCAAUGGCCGAGAGGCUGAACCAGCCAAGUCGCGUGAGGGAAGACGGCCCUACGGGUUGUAAACCUCUUUUGUCGGGGAGCAAAGCGAGUCACGUGUGACUCAUUGAGAGUACCCGAAGAAAAAGCAUCGGCUAACUCCGUGCCAGCAGCCGCGGUAAUACGGAGGAUGCGAGCGUUAUCCGGAUUUAUUGGGUUUAAAGGGUGCGCAGGGGGGUGUGAAAGUCAGCGGUCAAAUUGCGGGGCUCAACCCCGGACUGCCGUUGAAACUGCAUGCCUUGAGUACGGGAGAGGUAUGCGGAAUGCGUGGUGUAGCGGUGAAAUGCAUAGAUAUCACGCAGAACUCCGAUUGUGAAGGCAGCAUACCGGCGUGCAACUGACGCUCAUGCACGAAAGCGUGGGUAUCGAACAGGAUUAGAUACCCUAGUAGUC